rnacentral:rRNA from 1 species
GUAUAUUUUAGAUCAAUAAGGGUGAAAUUUGCAUUUAUUCUCCAUUAGUUUGAAUAAAGCACUCUUUAGGUGGCCAAACAACUAGGAUUAGAUACCCUAUUAGUUCAUUUGUAAUUAACCUGGGUAGUAUUAUUUAAACCUAAAGAAUUUGGCGGUUUCUAAACUUACUAGAGGAACCUGCCCCAUAAACGACAAUCCACGAGACAACCGACCCGUUCUUGUAAAACAGCUUAUAUACCGUCGUUUAGGGGAUUAAAUAAAUAACUGCUCUUAAUUGCUUAGGCCAAUAAAUCAGAUCAAGGUGUAGCUUAUGUCCGGGAGAGGGUGGGUUACAAUAAGAACUUAAACGGAACUUUCAUUUUAUCAUGGAGAAGAAGGUGGAUUUAGAAGUAAGGCCUAUCAACCUGAAGGAGGCUCUGAGAAAUGUACACAUCGCCCGUCGCUCUCUUGUCCGAAGAGAUAAGUCGUAACAAAGUAGGUAUACCGGAAGGUGUAUCUUGAAAGA